UACGUAGGGGGCGAGCGUUGUCCGGAAUUAUUGGGCGUAAAGAGCGUGUAGGCGGUUCGGUAAGUCUGCCGUGAAAACCUGAGGCUCAACCUCGGGUCUGCAUCCGAUACUGCCCGGCUAGAGGUAGGUAGGGGAGAUCGGAAUUCCUGGUGUAGCGGUGAAAUGCGCAGAUAUCAGGAGGAACACCGGUGGCGAAGGCGGAUCUCUGGGCCUUACCUGACGCUCAGGCGCGAAAGCUAGGGGAGCGAACUGG
rnacentral:rRNA from 1 species